GAUGAACGCUGGCGGCGUGCCUAAUACAUGCAAGUAGAACGCUGAAGGAAGGAGCUUGCUCUUUCCGGAUGAGUUGCGAACGGGUGAGUAACGCGUAGGUAACCUGCCUGGUAGCGGGGGGUAACUAUUGGAAACGAUAGCUAAUACCGCAUAACAGUAGAUGUUGCAUGAUAUCUACUUAAAAGGUGCAAUUGCACCACUACCAGAUGGACCUGCGUUGUAUUAGCUAGUUGGUGAGGUAACGGCUCACCAAGGCGACGAUACAUAGCCGACCUGAGAGGGUGAUCGGCCACACUGGGACUGAGACACGGCCCAGACUCCUACGGGAGGCAGCAGUAGGGAAUCUUCGGCAAUGGACGGAAGUCUGACCGAGCAACGCCGCGUGAGUGAAGAAGGUUUUCGGAUCGUAAAGCUCUGUUGUAAGAGAAGAACGAGUGUGAGAGUGGAAAGUUCACACUGUGACGGUAUCGUAUCAGAAAGGGACGGCUAACUACGUG
rnacentral:rRNA from 1 species